rnacentral:misc_RNA from 1 species
AAUAAAAUAAAAUAAAAUAAAAAGCAGCAGAAUUAGGUGAUGGAGUUCCAAUUCAUUUGUCAUAUUAGAGCAAGUUGCCAAACAUAUCUCCAACUAUGGAAAUUGAUGAUGAAAUCAAGUGAAAAAAAUAUACAGAAGACAGUGCUCGUGUUCAAGUCUCAUAGUGCAGUCUGACGGUGGCUUGCAUCAGCUUCAAGUCACAAAGUAAUCAAUUGUUUUCCCCUUUUUUGAGAAGAAAAGAUCAACAAUUUCAUUAGAGGCCAAAGAAACAUAAUGAAUAACCACAUCAUAAUUCUAAGGCAAGUUAUAACGACUAUGCUUUUACAAAUAUCAACUAUGCAAACAUUAAGCAAAUGUUUGUCUACUCCAUUUCCAUCUCAAGUUAGGAUCAGUGUUAUGUAACCUAGCCCAGAGACACCGCCCCAGUUGAGGAACCACCAGUUCAAAUAGUGAGUUAAUGGCUCAACAGCACAUAGUAGAGGCAAUUAAUUAAUUAAAAAUAAUUUAUAUUUCUCAAUUUUUUUUUUUAAAUUUUAUGAGAUAAACGUAAAACAAAAGUGUACUAUCAUGUAUUGCAAAUGAUGCUUACAAUACAGGACAUGUUUUCCAGCCACAACAUUUAAGAAUAUGCAAUUCUUCAUCUUUUUCCCCCCCACUACACAAAAGAGGUGGUAUCUUAAUCUGCAUCAACAAGGAGGCCUUACAUUUUCAUUAACAAUACCAGAGAGGAACAGAAGAAAACAAGAAAAAUCCUGUCGGCCAAAGCAAAAUUUUAAGUUUUUUACGAGCAAUGUGAUGGAGAUGCUCAAGGAAGGAAAGAAAAAAAUCUUGAACAAGGUGUCAAAGAUGGUUUAAAAUUGAGAAAGUUUGAGCUAAAACAAAUUUUCUAACUCAAUGAACUUAGUCAAGGUACUAGUGUACCUUCAAAUACAAAUCAACAGACCUUCAACUCCAUUGCAUCAUCACUGAGGCUGAAUUACAGGGGUCCUACUAAAACCUUAAAGGUUGGUCUGCCACAAUCUUUUUCAUCUAAAGGGUUAAGGCAAUAAUUAUGGCGAAAAACGUAGCAAGUUAUGCAUGGAGACUUCUGAAGAUAAAACAGCCAAUUUCAUUCUCCUUGCAAUUACAAGAAGAGAGAAGAUGGCCAAAUAAACUUGUUCCAUUGUUCUUUUAUGCCAUUUGAGUAUGAUAAAAACUAACCUUCUACCUGCUCAUUCAAGGACAUUAACAGACUCUAAUCUUCUGCCAUAUGUUCGUUAAUAAUCUAACCAACAAUGAACUAGCCUUUAAUGAACAUAAGCACAGUCAAAAAUUGAAGGGCUCGUGCUUAAAAUACUAACGAACUAAUGAAGCCUUUGCAUGUUUCACAUUUUUAAUGGGGAGUUUUCCUCUCAAAACUGGUAUAAAAUCCGUUAUCCAUCAUCACUCAUUAAAAGUUCUUUUAUACUUUCCCGUUUAAAACAUGGAAACUUAGAUAUCCUUUUCGCACCUCCACCUAAUAUAAAGAUUAAUUUUUUUGUCAUUCUAGUCUAACCAAAGUUAGUUUGGCACUUAAUCCUUCAAAGCAAUCCAAUGAACAGAUUCUCUCAUUUCUACAGAACCCCUUAAGAAUGGUUUCAGUUACACUGGAGUACAAUAUAGCAUUUCUGGCUUCUUCAAUAAGAAUAAAAUCUUAAAAAUCCCAGGUGUUAUGAACACUUCCGAAGUGAAUACCCAUAAUCCAGCACUCUCCAAUAAGAGUAUCACCACAAUUACCAUGUUUUUAGGGUCCCAAUUACCUUGGAUAGCGUCUCCAUUCCCUUGUCAUUGCAGUACAUUCCCACCCACACAACUCACAAACAUAAUCAAAUGGCAAUACUGAUACAAAUUUCUUAUAUAAAUGAUUAAAGUUUUGUUUAGAAACUACAUAUACGCACAAGUGAGCUACGAUUUGCUUAGCAGACCCUCCAUCAAUAAAAUUAUAAAGUUUUGAGCCUCUUAAAAAAAAUUGACCAAAGAAUACACCCUUGCAGCUUGUUUGGGAGGAAGUUUUUGAAGGUAAAGAUGGGUUUUUAAAAUAACAUACUUGUUAUGGGUAGAAGGUUUUUCAAAGGAAGUAAGGUAAGGUUUCAUCACUUUUUCAAUCCAAAAAAUUGGUUGGGAAGGUAUCCUUAGUUUCAAUGGUUGCGCCAAUCUCACAUCCUUUCAGGUUUCAAUCAAAGAAACAAAAGCAAGAGUCACAGAACAGAAUGAAAUUAAUCUUCACUGGAAGUUAACAUAUGCACAAUUUUCCGUCCGACAAAACCUCAAUACCCAAUUGAAUCAGUUCAAUCUUCCACAAAUAGCAAUAAAAAAAAACAAUAAGAAAACUAAAAAAGAGAGCAAGGAAGAACCCUCAAUAAUCAAUCAAUCAAGAAAACCAGUUCGCCGCCACACCGCAUUUCUUACCUGUCUAAGAUCCCUCCCUUUGAGCGUCCUCCCAACACCUUCCAAAACCGAGCACGCCACCAUCGGCGACUGCGACCUCGCCACAAUCUCGUGAGGCGGAAGCAUCUCCCCAUCCCCUUUCUCCUCGUCCUUGUCAAUCUCGUCGAAUUCGCUAUGCCUCCUCCUCAUUGCCAUCGACAAAACCGGCACGUUGACCGGCGCAGACUGGGGCUGGUGGAACUUGGAAGAAGAAAAAGAAGCAGAAAUGGGCACUCUCUCCUGCGGUGGCUUAGGGAUAGAAGGAAUGAAACGAGAAGAAGAGGUCAUUGGCGAGGACGAGGUAGAUGAGGAGGGCGAAGAAAGCGCUGUUUUCUGGUACAAAUGGUGGUGGGAGUUGGUUUUAUGCUCCGUAAGUGCCGCCAGGAUGCCGAAAGAUUCUGGCUGGGGAAAGGCUUUAUGGCUAUGGGAAUGGAGCUGGUGGUGGCGCAGAGAGGAGUUGGAGGAGGGAGGACUAUUGUGAGAGUUGGGGUGAUGGUGGUGGUUGGAAGCUUCGGAAAAGUCGCCAGUGGAGAAUAUAUCGUCCUCAUUGAGCUCGUUUUCUUCGCUUUCGUAGGUGGUGGUCCCGGUGUUCUGUCGCGGUGCACGGGGGUAGGCGCUGAGGAAUCGGUCGAUCGACGGCGUUUUCCGGUGGCGGAAACGG